rnacentral:lncRNA from 1 species
CGGCAAUUCAUACAACUAAAAGAGAAUCAGAAAACGUGGCAAAGCUGAUCUUACUCCUCUUCCCUGUAUUUUUAAUAUGAGUUGAAGCGGGUUUCUGUCAGAACACAGACUCUGCAAGCUUCUUCCUUAUCCUUGAUCAUCAGUGGUCUAAUCUGAAUUCCAUGAUAAAGAGAUGCUUCAUGGGGGCUGGCACAAGCAUGGGACAGAGGAAACACUGCAAAGUCACUUAGCCAGUGCCUACACCCAAGAAGAAAUCAUGACCUGAAGUGACCUCAGAACCAAAGAUCCUCCCCACGGAACCCAAGGACAGGGGCACAACUAGAACUUGAAAGCUGGACUCUUAUCAGAAGAAAGGGCUCCCUCCUUCAGGAAGAUCCGGUGUUAAUGUUCCCUCUGCCCCUCAUCAUAAAUGUUUAGAACCCUGUCAUAAAUGUUUAAAACCUUGCCAUAAAUGUUUGAAGCCCACCAAUCAAAGCCUGUGCCGUGAGUGUUUCCACAUGCCAACCUGUUCUCCCUAACCUCUUAAAUUUCACCCCAAAUCUUGAAUUAGGGAGACAGAUAUGAGGGCACACACACCCCAUGUCCCUGUAGAUCAAUAUCACAGAAUAAAAGCUGAUUUCUCCCCCAAAGGCU